rnacentral:rRNA from 1 species
UACGGGGGGAGCAAGCGUUGUUCGGAUUUACUGGGCGUAAAGGGCGCGUAGGCGGCCACCGCAAGUCGGUUGUGAAAUCUCCGGGCUUAACCCGGAAAGGUCAACCGAUGCUGCGGGGCUAGAGUGCAGAAGGGGCAACUGGAAUUCUCGGUGUAGCGGUGAAAUGCGUAGAUAUCGAGAGGAACACCUGCGGCGAAGGCGGGUUGCUGGGCUGACACUGACGCUGAGGCGCGAAAGCUAGGGGAGCGAACGGG